GGCUGGGGCGGCUACCAUGCAGUCGAGCGGUAGCACGGGGAGCUUGCUCCUGGGUGACGAGCGGCGGACGGGUGAGUAAUGUCUGGGGAUCUGCCUGAUGGAGGGGGAUAACUACUGGAAACGGUAGCUAAUACCGCAUAACGUCGCAAGACCAAAGAGGGGGACCUUCGGGCCUCUUGCCAUCAGAUGAACCCAGAUGGGAUUAGCUAGUAGGUGGGGUAAUGGCUCACCUAGGCGACGAUCCCUAGCUGGUCUGAGAGGAUGACCAGCCACACUGGAACUGAGACACGGUCCAGACUCCUACGGGAGGCAGCAGUGGGGAAUAUUGCACAAUGGGCGCAAGCCUGAUGCAGCCAUGCCGCGUGUAUGAAGAAGGCCUUCGGGUUGUAAAGUACUUUCAGCGAGGAGGAAGGCAUUAAGGUUAAUAACCUUGGUGAUUGACGUUACUCGCAGAAGAAGCACCGGCUAACUCCGUGCCAGCAGCCGCGGUAAUACGGAGGGUGCAAGCGUUAAUCGGAAUUACUGGGCGUAAAGCGCACGCAGGCGGUUUGUUAAGUCGGAUGUGAAAUCCCCGGGCUCAACCUGGGAACUGCAUUCGAAACUGGCAAGCUUGAGUCUUGUAGAGGGGGGUAGAAUUCCAGGUGUAGCGGUGAAAUGCGUAGAGAUCUGGAGGAAUACCGGUGGCGAAGGCGGCCCCCUGGACAAAGACUGACGCUCAGGUGCGAAAGCGUGGGGAGCAAACAGGAUUAGAUACCCUGGUAGUCCACGCCGUAAACGAUGUCGACUUGGAGGUUGUGCCCUUGAGGCGUGGCUUCCGGAGCUAACGCGUUAAGUCGACCGCCUGGGGAGUACGGCCGCAAGGUUAAAACUCAAAUGAAUUGACGGGGGCCCGCACAAGCGGUGGAGCAUGUGGUUUAAUUUCGAUGCAACGCGAAGAACCC
rnacentral:rRNA from 1 species